GAUGAAGAACGCAGCGAAAUGCGAUAAGUAAUGUGAAUUGCAGAAUUCAGUGAAUCAUCGAAUCUUUGAACGCACAUUGCGCCCGCUAGUAUUCUGGCGGACAUGCCUGUCCGAGCGUCAUUUCAACCCUCAAGCCCCCGGGCUUGGUGUUGGGGAUCGGCGAGCCUCCGCGCCCGCCGUCCCCUAAAUCUAGUGGCGGUCUCGCUGUAGCUUCCUCUGCGUAGUAGCACACCUCGCACUGGGAAACAGCGCGGCCACGCCGUUAAACCCCCAACUUCUGAACGUUUGACCUCGGAUCAGGUAGGAAUACCCGCUGAACUUAAGCAUAUCAAUAAGCGGAGG
rnacentral:misc_RNA from 1 species